rnacentral:rRNA from 1 species
UGGGGAAUAUUGGACAAUGGGCGAAAGCCUGAUCCAGCCAUGCCGCGUGUGUGAAGAAGGUCUUCGGAUUGUAAAGCACUUUAAGUUGGGAGGAAGGGUUGUAGAUUAAUACUCUGCAAUUUUGACGUUACCGACAGAAUAAGCACCGGCUAACUCUGUGCCAGCAGCCGCGGUAAUACAGAGGGUGCAAGCGUUAAUCGGAAUUACUGGGCGUAAAGCGCGCGUAGGUGGUUUGUUAAGUUGGAUGUGAAAUCCCCGGGCUCAACCUGAGAAUUGCAUUCAAAACUGACUGACUAGAGUAUGGUAGAGGGUGGUGGAAUUUCCUGUGUAGCGGUGAAAUGCGUAGAUAUAGGAAGGAACACCAGUGGCGAAGGCGAACACCUGGACUAAUACUGACACUGAGGUGCGAAAGCGUGGGGAGCAAACAGG